UACGUAGGGCGCAAGCGUUGUCCGGAAUUAUUGGGCGUAAAGAGCUCGUAGGCGGUUUGUCGCGUCUGCUGUGAAAACCUAAGGCUCAACCUUGGGCUUGCAGUGGGUACGGGCAGACUAGAGUGCGGUAGGGGUGACUGGAAUUCCUGGUGUAGCGGUGGAAUGCGCAGAUAUCAGGAGGAACACCGAUGGCGAAGGCAGGUCACUGGGCCGCAACUGACGCUGAGGAGCGAAAGCGUGGGGAGCGAACAGGA
rnacentral:rRNA from 1 species